rnacentral:rRNA from 1 species
AUUGAACGCUGGCGGAAUGCUUAACACAUGCAAGUCGAGCGGGGUGUAGCAAUACACCUAGCGGCGGACGGGUGAGGAAUACAUAGGAAUCUGCCUCAGAGCGGGGGAUAGCCCGGGGAAACCCGGAUUAAUACCGCAUGAUGUCGCAAGACCAAAGUGGGGGACCGCAAGGCCCCACACUCUGAGAUGAGCCUAUGUCCGAUUAGCUAGUUGGCGGGGUAAUAGCCCACCAAGGCGACGAUCGGUAGCUGGUCUGAGAGGACGACCAGCCACACUGGGACUGAGACACGGCCCAGACUCCUACGGGAGGGCAGCAGUGGGGAAUCUUGCGCAAUGGGCGAAAGCCUGACGCAGCGACG